AUCUUUGCUCCCACGGGGAGCAGGGCGAUCUUGGCGGGCCGGGGCAGGGCGUUCCCCGCGGGUGCAGACGGGCAGGGAGCUGCGAGCACUGGCCCCGCAGAGGGGCCCUGAGCAUCAGGGAGACAGCUACCUCUCUUGGAUGCCUGAGGCCCAAUAGAGAGCUCUCCAUGGAGUCGGAUUCAUCCAGCCUGGAUACUAGUGGAAAAGCAGCAAAAACUUCAUAUAGCCCAGAGAUUUGACAAAACGCAAAGAAGGUACCAAUGUGAGAUUUCCGAAGAUAGCUACAGCACUCGACCCAAG